rnacentral:rRNA from 1 species
UGGGGAAUAUUGGACAAUGGGCGAAAGCCUGAUCCAGCAAUGCCGCGUGAGUGAUGAAGGCCUUAGGGUUGUAAAGCUCUUUUACCAGGGAUGAUAAUGACAGUACCUGGAGAAUAAGCUCCGGCUAACUCCGUGCCAGCAGCCGCGGUAAUACGGAGGGAGCUAGCGUUGUUCGGAAUUACUGGGCGUAAAGCGCGCGUAGGCGGUUUAUCAAGUCAGGGGUGAAAUCCCGGGGCUCAACCCCGGAACUGCCCUUGAAACUGGUUCACUAGAAUCCUGGAGAGGCGAGUGGAAUUCCGAGUGUAGAGGUGAAAUUCGUAGAUAUUCGGAAGAACACCAGUGACGAAGGCGACUCGCUGGACAGGUAUUGACGCUGAGGUGCGGAAGCGUGGGGA